ACUAGCACACGCAUCUGCGGCCCGUUGGCUUUACGGUUCUAUAGCCCAAUUAGCACAUGCACCAAGUAGGCUCGCGGCUACUGUUAGACCGGGUGCGAUGACCUAAUUGCUGGGCCAGUCGAUCAGCCUGACAUUUUUUUUCUCGGGCCUGAACCCGUUGGGCCGGGUCUCGAGUUGAGGACCAGCCUCGGGUUUUCUUAGUGGGCCUUAUUUAGCCUAUC
rnacentral:lncRNA from 1 species